rnacentral:rRNA from 1 species
UGAACGCUAGCUACAGGCUUAACACAUGCAAGUCGAGGGGCAGCAUGGUCUUAGCUUGCUAAGGCCGAUCGGGCGACCGGCGCACGGGUGAGUAACACGUAUCCAACCUGCCGUCUACNCUUUGGACAGCCUUCUGAAAAGGGAAGAUUAAUACAAGAUGGCAUCAUGAGUCCGCAUGUUCACAUGAUUAAAGGUAUUCCGGUAGACGAUGGGGAUGCGUUCCAUUAGAUAGUAGGCGGGGUAACGGCCCACCUAGUCUUCGAUGGAUAGGGGGUUCUGAGAGGAAGGUCCCCCACAUUGGAACUGAGACACGGUCCAAACUCCUACGGGAGGCAGCAGUGAGGAAUAUUGGUCAAUGGGCGAGAGCCUGAACCAGCCAAGUAGCGUGAAGGAUGACUGCCCUAUGGGUUGUAAACUUCUUUUAUAAAGGAAUAAAGUCGGGUAUGCAUACCCGUUUGCAUGUACUUUAUGAAUAAGGAUCGGCUAACUCCGUG